CUUGUUCUGCCGGGAACCCCAUUCUUUGUCAGAGACUUAUCAGUCCGGUGUGUUAUCUCUGCCUGGCCACUGCCUCAUAAAUUGAAAGCAACAUUAGAGCAGCUUUGGGUGGUCCAGAAUAUAUGAAUAUCUGCAGCAGAUUCCAGCUCGCCCCUAUGGCAGAUAAUCUCCUCUUUCUAACCAUCGAACCGUAAUCUUACAGUUGCAUAACAUGUUUGUGCGGCCACUUUUGGAGUUUUAUGCUCGGAUUUGGUCGACCUACAAUAGGAAGAAUGUUAUAGGUUCAUAAGUUCUAGAAGCAGAAUGAGGCCAUUUGGCCCAUCAUGUCUACUCCACUAUUCAAUCAUGUCUGAUCUAUCUUUUCCCUCUCAAUCCCACAGAUUCACCACCCUCUGACUAAAAAAAUUCCUCCCCAUCUCCUUUCUAAAAGUACGUUCUUUAAUUCUGAGGCUAUGGCCUCUGGCCUUGGACGCUAGUGGAAACAUCCUCUCCACAUUCAGUCUAUCCAAACCUUUCACUAUUCGAUGUCGUUAAGCUGGAAAGAGUGCAGAGAAGAUUUACCAUGAUGUUGCCAGGGCUUGAGGGCUUGAGCUAUAGGGAGAGUUUGAGCAGGCUAUGACUUUAUUCUGUGGAGGCUUGACGGAUGAUCUUAUAGAGGUAUAAAAAUCAUGAGGGGAAUAGAUAGGGUAUUUUACCCAUGGUGGGGGAAUUAACAAAUCAGAGGACAUGAGGAACUAGAGGGGCAACAUUUUCACACAGAGGGCGGUGAGUAUAUGGAACAAGCUGCCAGAGGAUGUAGAAACAAAGAACUGCAGAUGCUGGCUUAUACCAAAGGUCAACACAAAGUGCUGGGGAGUCUCAGCGGGUCAGGCAGCAUCUCCGGAGAAAAAGGAUGGGUGACGUUUUGGGUCAGGACCCUUCUUCAGGGUGGAAACAGCUGUGGAGAGAUCAGCCCUUACACCAAUGCUGGACAAUUAACACCAAUUAAUCUACAAACCCGCACGUCUUUGAAGUGUGGGAGGAAACCGGAGCACGUGCAAACUCCGUACAGACAGAGCCCAUGGUCAAGAUCGAACCUGGGUCUCUGGCACCAUAAGGCAGCAACUCUAUCGCUGUGCAACCGUGCCAGCCUAAACCCAUCAUGUUCCCAUGAAUAACUCAGCGGGACAGGCAGCAUCUCUGUCCCACUGAGUUACUCCAGCUUUUUGUGCCUAGCUUCGAUUUAAACCAGCAUUUGCAGUUCCUUCCUACACUUGUUCCAAUGAAUGUUGGAAUGGAUUUGAAGCAUUGAACAGUUUCCUCCCUGUACUAACGUCUUAAUCACUAUAAAGAUUAAAUAAUUGCAGGCUCACUGCCCUGUCAUAAAUUGAGGGCAUAGCCCCAAUCUUGCAACCUACCUCUUGUGGCCCUUGCACUUUUUUUUAACCUGUACUUUCUCUUUAGCUGUAACACAAUAUUCAGCACUCCCUUCAACCUCCAGCAUUCUAGAGAAAACAAUCCACAUCCUUACUGUAUUGAUUUCAUCCUGACUUCCUGACUCUAAUACGUAAUGCCCUGACAUAUGAAAGCAAGUAUACUAUACCCCUGUGUAUAAGCCUGCUACGAUGUGUCUGAUUAAGGGUCUUGACCCAAACAAACUGUAUGGAUGUUUGUACGUUCUCCUUGUGACCGCAUGGGGUUUCUCCGGGUGCUCCAGUUUCCUCACACACUCCAAAGACGUGCGGGUUUGUGACUCAAUUGACUUCUGUAAAUUGCAAAUAGUCCCUAGUGUGUGUGAUAAUGCCAGUGUACGGGGUGAUCACAAGUUGGUGCGGAAUCAGUGGACCGAAGGGCCUGUUUCCCUGCUGUAUCUCUGAAUUCUAAAGAUUCAAGUAAAUCGCCUCUCAAUUCUCUCCAGAGAUACUUCCUGACCCGCUGAGUUACCCCAGCACUUUUAUUUUCAUACUAUAUGCCUUCGAUGGGGGUGAAUAGCCUAAUUCUGCACCUAUGACAUAUAAAGUUAACCACUAUUUCCAUCUGCCCUCUAGUGUCUGUCGUUUCCACUUUGGUGAAAAGGGCAGUGACUGUCUAUCCAUGUUCUCCAGAGAUGCUGCCUGGCCUGCUGAGUUAUUCCGGCACUUUGCGGACUUUUCUGACUGUCUCGAUUUGGGACUAUGUCAGUAUUUCAGUCAUCUUCCUCGUCAGGGAAUGUAAUUCAGCUGCACACACGUGAGAGCCUCUUCCCCCAGACUUGAGGGUGAUUAUCGUGGAAUGUGCGCUGAGCAUUCUCCCCUCUCGCAAACAACCCCCUCCCCCCUCCCCUUCUCGCACACCAUGGCCUUGGCGACAAUGAAUGUGCAUCAUUGAACCUGCAGGUUCCCACCAGGCUGGGCGCGGUUUGCAGGGAGAAUCAGCCCCACACUUCCACAAAAGGGAGUCACAUUCCACUCUGCAUUCAGUACGAAAUGUUCCAAAUGGACAAGGACGGCAGCUCAGGCAGAGCAAGACCGAAUGAAGGAAACCCAGAUAUUUUUCCCACCACGUGUAUUUCACUGAAUCCUGGAAUCCUCAGCCCUCGCUAUUUGCUAAUUGCUUUGUGAAUGAAUCAUUGUCAGCGACUUCCAGCUGUGAGGCAUCCUCUCCAGAUCAAUCCCAAAGGACAAGAGGAGGAUUACUCUGAACAUCUUGUCUUGUCAACGUUGGGGAAAUUUUUGGGAGACAGAACACUGGCCGCCAGUGUUGUGGGAAAGGUACGAGGUGUCAGCACCACCUCUAAUGAUGAACUCCCAAAUGACCUUGGUACAGCUGUAACCCUCAGAAGCACAAUUGAUCCUUCUGUAAAACCGCUAAGUUUUCACACGUUUGCAGAGUGAGCACCGCUGACAAGAGUUAACCCUUUGCGCUCAUAUGCAAAACUAAUACAUAGAGUCAUAGAGACAAACAGAGUGGAAACAUAACCUUCAGCUCAACUUGCCCUUACCAACCAACAUGUUCCAUCUACACUAGUCUCACUUGCCUGCUUCUAUAACUGUAAUACAUCUGGAAUGCUGCAAAGACUCCAGUGGUUAAUUCUAGUAUCUUUAGACUUUAGAGAUACAGCACGGAAAUAGGCCCAUCGGCCCACCGAGUCCACGCCGACAACUGAGCCACUCUGCCGCUCUUAGAGUUGUGGAAGAAUGAGAAGAGGUUCACGUGGUUAAGAUAGCAAAUUAUAUAUGCUUUCUAUUCAACAGGUAUAAUAGUUGUGCUUUAGAGGCUGUUAGAUGGCUGGUAUGGUGGCACAGCGGUGGAGUUGCAACCUUACGGCGCAUGACAUACGGAAGUGGCGGCGCUGUUAGCAGCUGCGGCUCGCCUGCAGUCCGUCUGUCUUUACUUUUUUCUGGGGUUUUUUUUGUCUUGUUUUGGUUAAGUUUUAGUUUGUUGGGUUGUGUUAGAGGGGGUGAAACAUGUUCUCUGUCUCUUCCUUCGGGGGAAUGCGACUUUUUCGUGUCGUAUCCCCCUUCUCUGCCUCCGUCUGCGCUGAGGCCUAAUGGCGGAGCUGGCGGCCUCCAACCUGCGACCGACCCCGAGGCUCCGGAGGCAGAGCCAGCCAGGACUUACCAACGAGAGGCUGGCCGUCUUCGGGGCUAAGGCAGCGGUGGCCCGACUUGCUGGUGCGGCGUUCUGGCUUUCGGCGGUGGCCUGGAGCUGAUGCAGGAGCUCGGAGCUGAGACUGCGGGACCCGGAGCUGGGGCAGCAGCCUGGAGCGGAGACUGCGGGACCUGGAGCGGCGACUGCAGGACCCGGAGCUGGGGCGGCAGCCUGGAGCGGAGACGGCGUUCCGGCUUUCGGCGGCAGCGACAUCACCACAGAGAUCCGCUGGACUGGAGAGCGGCAUCUUCGGCCUGGAUCGAUCGCCUCAGCGCAGAGGGAGAACAAGGAGGGAAGAGACGGAGACUAAGACUUUGCCUCCAUCACAGUGAGGAUGUGCUUGGUGAACUCACUGUGGUGGAUGUUUAAUUUGUGUUUAUUGUAUGUUUUGUUAUUAUUGAUUCUGUGUAUGACUGCAGGCAACAUAAUUUCGUUCAGACCGAAAGGUCUGAAUGACAAUAAAGGAUCUAUCUAUCUAUCUAUCUAUCUAUCUAUCUAUCUAUCUAUCUAUCUAUCUAUCUGGGUUCGAUCCUGACCAUGGGUGCUGUCUAUAUGGAGUUUGUACAUUCUCCCAGUGCUCAUGUUUCUGCCCACAUCCCAAUAACGUGCAGGUUUAUUGAGUAAUUGGCUUCUAUGCUCCUCUGCACCCUCUCCAAAGCCUCCACAUUCAUCCCAGAACGCGGCGACCAGAACUGCACACAAUGCUCCAAAUGUGGUACGACCAAAGGUUUAUACAGAGGUAACAUAACUUCCCUACUUUCGGACUCAAUUUACAACAAUGUAUUAACCUAACAACGUGCCUUACAGCUGUGGAAAUUAUUUUAAAAUGUUAUUGACGUUGCAACAUUGGAAACGCAGAAACGUUACGAAACAUGAACAAGAUAGAGACCAUCGGUGUUAGUACAAGAUUGGCCGAGAGAGUUGACCAGGGUACCUAGCAUCCCGCGCGCACUCCUCUCAGAGAUACCGACAUUGGAGUCUUUUAUGUCCAAAGUAAUGGGGCCAAUGGAAUCUUGGUUUAACAUCUUAACUGAAUGCCAACAUUACCAACCUUGCUAAAGGGUCGCGACCCAAAGUGUCACCUAUCCAUGUUCUCCAGAGAUGCUGCCUGGCCCGCUGAGUUACUCCAGCAUUUUGUCUCCUUUUGUGUAACAAUGAGCAUCGGCAGUUGUUCCUUGCUUCAUUUUGGCUGAACCACUGCCGGUUUGAAGGAAGGCCAUGACCCGAAACGUCACCUAUUCCUUUUCUCCAGAGAUGCUGCCUGACCCGCUGAGUUACUCCAGCUUUUUGUGUUUGUGUCGGUAUAAACCAGCAUCUGCAAUUCCUUCCUGCACGGGUUGUCCAGCACUUUGUGUCCUCCUUUGUAUCAUCCAGCAUCUGCAGUUUCUAGUUUCUACAUUUUGACUGUUCAACUGUGAAGGUCUGAUGCAGGGUCUCGACCUGAAACAUCACCUGUCCAGGUUCCCCGGGGAUGCUGCCUGACCUGCUGAGUUACUCCAGCACUUUGUGUCCUUCUCGGGAGCAGCCGAGAUUAUGUGCUCCAGUCCCUGGGGUGGGCCAACUGCAAGGCUGACACAUUGUACACAUUAUGUCAGACUUCUAUUGAAUAAUUAUCUUAUUAUAAUAAGAUAAUAAUUAUCUAAUUGUCUACGUUUUAUCAUUACAUCAAACUGUCAAAUUAUUGUUAAAAGUAAAAGGGCUGCUCAAGUAAUCUCAAAUAAUUGAGGUCCAUGUGAACUGGUUGUUCUAUUUUCUAAAGCCUGGCUUUAGAAAUUAGUACAUUGAGACAAAAGUCAUAAUCCUUGCCACAACAUGUUGGGACAGGCAAAGUUUUCCAGUAAGCUUUUACUUCUGCAACACCCACUGAUCUUUUACCAGUCGCCCGGUGACCGCUCAGAUGUGUUUAGGUUGUCUUGUGGACGUCUUUAGUCUGAGGCUGGCAAAUGCCCUGGGACCUAGAAGCACUGUGAGUGCCGGAGCUGAAUGAUCGAUGCUUUCCGCAGGUGACGUUCAGAGAUCCAGUAAUCAUCGGCUUAAGAGGGCGUUUAGCAGUUUAGCUCCAGUCUGAUCUCUCGCCCCCCCCGCACCCCCGGCGGCAGCACAAAGGAGCUGAAGGUCUGGAGGCGAGAAUGCCUGCCGUUGUCGACGGUGACACACAGUGACGGAAAGAAAAGGAGAACGAACGGAAGAGAGGUGAAAGAAAGAGAGAGGGAGAAAGAGGAUACAUGAGUAACUAAUAAAACAAAAAGAAAAACCGAACACAAAGUGAGUUUGAGUCUGAGGUUAGUCUAUUGUCACGUGUACCCAGGUACAGUGAACGGAUUUUGUUGGCCCGCUAUCCAGUCAGCGGAAAGACCAUACAUGAUUACAAUCAAGCCGUCCAUAGUGUACUGAUACAGGAUAAAGGGAAUAACAUGAAUAACGUUUAGUGCAAGAUAAAGUCUGAUUAAAGAUAGAACUAGUCCGAGGGUCUCCAAUGGGGUAGAUACUGUAGUAGUUCAGGGCUGCUCUGUAGGUUUUGGUAGGAUGAUGCAGUUGCCUGAUAACAGCUGGGAAGAAACUGUUCUUGAAUCUGGAGGUGUACGUUUACACAUUUCUAUACCUGUUGCGAUGCUGGGGUGACUCAGCCGAUCAGGCAGCAUCUCUGGGGAAAAUGGAUAAGCAACAUUUUGGGUCAGGACAUCCUUCAGACUGGCAAACCUAUUCUGGCAAACAUUUAUUCCUGAAGAGCACCAUGUUUUCUUGUGAUUGAAAGAUGCAGCACGGAAACGGCCCACUGAGUCCGCGCUGGCCAUCGACCACCCGUUCACACUAGUUGUUCGUUAUUUCACAUCCUCAUCCACUCUCAGCACACUAGGGGCAAUUCACAGAGGCACGGUGGCGCAGCGGUAGAGUUGCUGCCUUACAGUGAAUGCAGCGCCGGAGACCCGGGUUCGAUCCUGACUACGUGUGCUAACUGUACGGAGUUUGUACGUUCUCCCCGUGACCUGCGUCGGUUUUCUCUGAGAUCUUCGGGUUCCUCCCACACUCCAAAGAAGUACAGGUUUGUAGGUUAAUUGGCUUGGUAAAUGUAAAAAUUGUCCCUAGUGGGUGUAGGAUGGUGUUAAUGUGCGGGGAUCGCUGGUCGGCGCGGACCCGGUGGGCCGAAAGGGCCUGUUUCCGAGCUGUAUCUCUAAACUAAACUAAGCUAAACUAAAGGCCAAUUAUCCCACAAACCCGCAACGUCUUUUGGGAUGUGGGAGGAAACCGGAGCACCCGGAGAUAACCUGACGCUGUGGCAGGGAGAACAUGCAAACUCCACACGGGAGUAUCAGCCUCGGCUAUUACAGUAUGUUCAAGUCUCAACACAGGUGUGAAGAAGCCACAUCCUUCUGAUGUAGAGAGUACAGUGUGGAGGGCCACAUGCCUGUGGCGUGAAAUUGAACAAAAUACUCCCCAUUGAUCCAGAUGCCGGUGAUCAGCAAAUCCAUCUACCUUCAGCCACAAUCUCACCCAGUGUUUUGUGCUGUUGGAUGUUACAACAACUCAUUCACAAGAUCACGGAGAACAAUUUGCCUGGUUGAUGAAAGAUUGGCAGCAAUUUCCUCUCAGUGUUUAUUCCUUCGUUUGAUCUGAUCUGCAGACUGUUAAUGAAAUCACUUCUGAAUAAGUGCCUCACAGUUGCAGAAAAGGUGGGGGGCACAACGUCAGCUUCAGUCAGUCAGCACCCCCCCACGAUCGACUGUGCAAACGACACUACAAACUUCAAGGCUUCGUUUUGUCCCAUGUCUGAAAUCGCCCACAAGAGCUGCAGGUCUGUUAAUGCUAAUAAAAUAAUCCACUCUGAGUCUGCCCUUGAAAGGAAGGGAAGCAAAGAAGGUUUACAUUUCCUCACGGAGACACAAGGAACUGCAGAUGCUGAAAUAUUGAGCAAAACACAGAGGAACAGUGGGUGGAGGGAUAGAGUUGCUCCAAACUCCAAGAUAGUGUUAACUUCCAAAUAAGCUCUGAAUUACAUAGACUUGGGGGCCUUGGGAUUUGUUUUUCUUUGCAUGUGUAAUAUACACGUGUGUAGUAUAUAUACACACAGACACAGUCAAACAUACGUACACAUACAUACACAGAUGCAUCUUUUUUUAGUUUAUUAUAUUGUUUACAGAGUACUAUGUUUACAUAUUCUGUCGUGCUGCUGCAAGUUGCCGUUUGGUACAUGUGGCAAUGAAACACUUAACUCUCUCCCUACAGCUCCAGUGACCCCGGUUUGAUCCUGACUAUGGGUGCUGUGUGUACAGAGUUUGUACAUUCUCGUUGUGUCCGCGUGGGUUUUCUCCGGAUGUUCCGGUUUCCGCCCAAACUCCAAAGACAUGCGGGUUUGUAAGUCAAUUGGCUUCUGCAAAUUGUGAGUUGUCUAGUGAUAGUGCUGGUGUAUGGGUGAUCGCUGAUCAACGUGGACUCGGUGGGCUGAAGGGCCUGAGUCCAUGUUAUAUGUUUAAAGCCUAGAGUCUAACUGGAGGAACUCAAAACCCAAAACUGGAGGAACUCAGCAGGUCAGGUAGCAUCCGUGGAGGGAACAGACAGGCGAUGUUCCAGUUAAGGUCUAUUAUUGUCAUGCGUAUCAAGGUACAGUGAAAAGCCUUGCUUUGCAUGCUAUCCAAGCAGAAAAAAUAUAGGAAGAUAGGAAUGUUCGGUGAACUUUUGUAAUUUUUUCGGCACCAGAAACAUGACCUUCUUCUUCUUCUUUCGUGUGGCGUGCACAGCCUGAAGUUGUUGGACAACUUGUUCUAUUUGAUCUUCCGUUUGUGCACGUCGAGUUGAUUGCAUUAGUCGAAACAGGGCGGACCACAUGAAGGUUGCAAUCUUCCACCCUAGAAACGUGAUGACUCUUGUGUAUUGCCUGGGUGUAAUUCCUGGGGUCACAACACGCCAGUUAAAGUUACCGGAAUUUUAAACAAGGCAUUAGCACAAGGACUGUAGCCCAGCUGGAGCCCAUUUGUUUUUGGAAGGAACCUGUAUGUGUGUGUGAAAAUUCUUUGAACCUGCAGUGUCGAAAAGUGUUUUUCUCUUCCCCAGAGAAAAUGAAGCUCAUGUUAAUCACCUCCCAUCUCCACAAUGCUACGAAUCCUCAAGCUAAACCUCUUUCAUACUGGAAUACCUGCAAACAAUAAGCUCAGGGUUAAACUCAGAAGGAAAUCAUCUGCCUCCAAUGUGAAGCUGUUCCAAUGGGAUUUGGAAGAGAGGCAGUUUCUUUUCAUAAAAAUAAAUAUAAUUCGAACCCAACAGGUGUGCAAUUGGGGACUGCUUUUGUCAAAUGUUUAGAAAUUCCGAGAGACAUAUUUUCUCGCUGCCUACACCCUCUCCGCCAUCGGUUCAAUGCUCUUCUUUCAAAACUCUGGUUAUAUAUUUUUUCUAAGCCAACAUUCCUUGAAGAUGAUACUGCAGCUUUGGAAAUCAAUGCGCACUGCCAGUCUAGUGCUAACAGAGUGGCCCAAAUUGUGUGUGUGUGUCUGCGUGUGCACGUGCACGUGCACGUGUGUGUGUUCAGCAAGUGUGCAUGUGCGUGCGUGCAUGUGUGCAUGUAUGUGUGUGUAUAUGUGUGAAGGUAUGUGCGUGCAAAUAUUUGUGUGGUUGGGUGCGUGGGUGUGCGUGUGAGCACGCCCGUGCAUGUUUGUGUGAGUGUGCAAGUGCGCAUGCGUGCGUGUGUGUCUUUUUAUUAUAAAUUCACCCCGUGCACAGUUGUUCCCAAUCUGCCUGACGCGCUCUAAUUACUAAUAGGCGAGAGUUCUGGUGUGAACACUUGUGGCACUGGUGUGGAAUUCCUGAUACUAAAGCUCAAGAGGAUGAAUUUCCUGCUAAAAUAGCACUGGAAGGGUCAAAGCAUGAGCUCGCUUAGGAUUCUCAUGUAGGGAGUGGACAUCGUUGUGGGGCCAACAGUUACUGCCCAGUCCUCGAGCAGAUGAGCGUUCAACUUCAACAGCUGCAGUCCACGUGGCAAAGCUAUUUCUACAAUAGUUCCAGGAUUUAACCCCAGCAGCAAUGAAGAUAUAUGUCCAGGCCAGACUAGUUCUUGACAAGGAGAGAACUUGCACCGGUGGAGUUACCAUGAGGCUGGGGCCUUAAUCUUUCUUAUCUUAUCUUGCAUUAAACAUUUUACCCUUUA